AUUGAACGCUGGCGGCAGGCCUAACACAUGCAAGUCGAACGGUAACAGGAAACAGCUUGCUGUUUCGCUGACGAGUGGCGGACGGGUGAGUAAUGUCUGGGAAACUGCCUGAUGGAGGGGGAUAACUACUGGAAACGGUAGCUAAUACCGCAUAACGUCGCAAGACCAAAGAGGGGGACCUUCGGGCCUCUUGCCAUCGGAUGUGCCCAGAUGGGAUUAGCUAGUAGGUGGGGUAACGGCUCACCUAGGCGACGAUCCCUAGCUGGUCUGAGAGGAUGACCAGCCACACUGGAACUGAGACACGGUCCAGACUCCUACGGGAGGCAGCAGUGGGGAAUAUUGCACAAUGGGCGCAAGCCUGAUGCAGCCAUGCCGCGUGUAUGAAGAAGGCCUUCGGGUGGUAAAGUACUUUCAGCGGGGAGGAAGGGAGUAAAGUUAAUACCUUUACUCAUUGACGUUACCCGCAGAAGAAGCACCGGCUAACUCCGUG
rnacentral:rRNA from 1 species